AAAUUGAAGAGUUUGAUCAUGGCUCAGAUUGAACGCUGGCGGCAGGCCUAACACAUGCAAGUCGAACGGUAACAGGAAGCAGCUUGCUGUUUUGCUGACGAGUGGCGGACGGGUGAGUAAUGUCUGGGAAACUGCCUGAUGGAGGGGGAUAACUACUGGAAACGGUGGCUAAUACCGCAUAACGUCGCAAGACCAAAGAGGGGGACCUUCGGGCCUCUUGCCAUCAGAUGUGCCCAGAUGGGAUUAGCUUGUUGGUGAGGUAACGGCUCACCAAGGCGACGAUCCCUAGCUGGUCUGAGAGGAUGACCAGCCACACUGGAACUG
rnacentral:rRNA from 1 species